UCAACCCCAUCAUCCGGUUGACAAGCCAAACUUGCUUUUCUUGGUAGACGGUUUGUCUUUAUUCAAUUUAUAUGUUGUAAGUAACCAAAUGUACAAUUGACUGAUUAUUUAGGUAUUUAAUUGCGCAUUCCAGAGCAUUAUAGAUUAUAAUUCAACGUGUACAGUAGUUAUCUCUGCUCAGCUAGCUAGCUAAUUUAGCUACAAUCCUACUCAUGUCAAAAUUCUCCAUCCAUAGUUCUGGAUUAAUCGAAUAAAGAAUGGACAGCCCCAGCCCAGCAACCCACCCUCACUGUUGAGCAGGCCAGAUGUAAGAACAGUUGUCACAUACUUUUGUCUUAUUACUAAUGCCCAGUAGUGGCACAGAUCUCUUCAAACUGCUUGUGUUGCAGUGGUGCUGAGUGAGGUCAUCCAAGCCUUCUCUGUGCCAGAGAAUUCAGCGCGGAUGGAGGAGGCACGGGAGAGCGCCAACAACAUGGUCAAGAUGCGAUAGCUGGUGCUCCCCAUGGCCACCCAGAUCCAACAGGAGGUCAUCAAGGUUUAUGGCUUCAAUGAGGGAGAGGGUGAGGGAAGCCACUUUGUGAAACCAGUUCCAUACAGAAUGAAAGGGUAGAGAUAGACAAUCUAUUGUCACUUGUCAGUGGCAUUGUUUUGUGUGAAGACUGAAUGCUAUCUUUUUGCGUCAUGUUCAGUUUGACCUAUACUGGAAAAAAAUAUAAAUGCAGCAAUUUCUAUGA